rnacentral:rRNA from 1 species
GAUGAACGCUGGCGGCGUGCCUAAUACAUGCAAGUCGAACGAGUUCUCGUUGAUGAUCGGUGCUUGCACCGAGAUUCAACAUGGAACGAGUGGCGGACGGGUGAGUAACACGUGGGUAACCUGCCCUUAAGUGGGGGAUAACAUUUGGAAACAGAUGCUAAUACCGCAUAGAUCCAAGAACCGCAUGGUUCUUGGCUGAAAGAUGGCGUAAGCUAUCGCUUUUGGAUGGACCCGCGGCGUAUUAGCUAGUUGGUGAGGUAAUGGCUCACCAAGGCGAUGAUACGUAGCCGAACUGAGAGGUUGAUCGGCCACAUUGGGACUGAGACACGGCCCAAACUCCUACGGGAGGCAGCAGUAGGGAAUCUUCCACAAUGGACGCAAGUCUGAUGGAGCAACGCCGCGUGAGUGAAGAAGGCUUUCGGGUCGUAAAACUCUGUUGUUGGAGAAGAAUGGUCGGCAGAGUAACUGUUGUCGGCGUGACGGUAUCCAACCAGAAAGCCACGGCUAACUACGUGCCAGCAGCCGCGGUAAUACGUAGGUGGCAAGCGUUAUCCGGAUUUAUUGGGCGUAAAGCGAGCGCAGGCGGUUUUUUAAGUCUGAUGUGAAAGCCCUCGGCUUAACCGAGGAAGCGCAUCGGAAACUGGGAAACUUGAGUGCAGAAGAGGACAGUGGAACUCCAUGUGUAGCGGUGAAAUGCGUAGAUAUAUGGAAGAACACCAGUGGCGAAGGCGGCUGUCUGGUCUGUAACUGACGCUGAGGCUCGAAAGCAUGGGUAGCGAACAGGAUUAGAUACCCUGGUAGUCCAUGCCGUAAACGAUGAAUGCUGGGUGUUGGAGGGUUUCCGCCCUUCAGUGCCGCAGCUAACGCAUUAAGCAUUCCGCCUGGGGAGUACGACCGCAAGGUUGAAACUCAAAGGAAUUGACGGGGGCCCGCACAAGCGGUGGAGCAUGUGGUUUAAUUCGAAGCAACGCGAAGAACCUUACCAGGUCUUGACAUCUUUUGAUCACCUGAGAGAUCAGGCUUCCCCUUCGGGGGCAAAAUGACAGGUGGUGCAUGGUUGUCGUCAGCUCGUGUCGUGAGAUGUUGGGUUAAGUCCCGCAACGAGCGCAACCCUUAUGACUAGUUGCCAGCAUUUAGUUGGGCACUCUAGUAAGACUGCCGGUGACAAACCGGAGGAAGGUGGGGAUGACGUCAAAUCAUCAUGCCCCUUAUGACCUGGGCUACACACGUGCUACAAUGGAUGGUACAACGAGUUGCGAGACCGCGAGGUCAAGCUAAUCUCUUAAAGCCAUUCUCAGUUCGGACUGUAGGCUGCAACUCGCCUACACGAAGUCGGAAUCGCUAGUAAUCGCGGAUCAGCACGCCGCGGUGAAUACGUUCCCGGGCCUUGUACACACCGCCCGUCACACCAUGAGAGUUUGUAACACCCGAAGCCGGUGGCGUAACCCUUUUAGGGAGCGAGCCGUCUAAGGUGGGACAAAUGAUUAGGGUG